GGCAAAAGAAAAAAAAAGCCCCCAAAACAGCUGCUACACGAAGAUUCUAGAUGCAUAGUUCAAUAAAAACUUGAUGUAUGUAGGAUGUAUAAGCAGAACUGAGCCUGGAUAUAUUAAUCUCCAAAACCCUUUAUUUUGCAGCCAAAAUAUGCCUACAUGGAGUAGAUUAAAAAUAUUUAUACAAGGCAAAAUUCCAAGGCUAGUGAACAUCCUGUUGCCAAAGACAUUCUGCGGACAACAAUAUAUCAUUUUACCACAUACAGUAGUUACUACUUUCACAGUGAAAGAGUAUGAUAACAUACAUAUAUACACUCACAAUUCAGAAACUGUAUUUGUGCCCACAAGAUGACUGAAGUCUCCUGUAUAGCCAUGCAGGAGACCAAAUCUUACGAGUGACUGUAGCUGCCCUUUUUUUCAGGCUGCAAAUAAUUGCUUGAGCUCUGGGGUAAAGCUGUGUAAGUCAAAAAAAUGCUGAGUAGACAUGAUGGAUGUUUUCAGUUGCUAGCUGUAGAGCUGAGUUACCCUGCUGCACCACAGAUCUCUUGAAUGACGUGGGGCAAUGCUUUGAGUCCUUCAUGCCACCUUCAGAGAAAUCACUGGUAUGGCUGGCUGGAAGUCAAGCUUCCUAUGUCCCUCAAUGAUUGCUCAGGCACUCAUUCAGAAGAACAAAACAAAGAGUGUAUGUAUGGUCAUCCUGAUUCAGACCAAAUAUUCACAACUGUCCAGAGUCCCAAGUCUGAAAUCAGCCUUUGAAUAAUCGUUAUGUUGCAGAUGUACUUAAUCUCUCUGAAGCCAUCCCUGCAUCCCAAGGCAAUGAGUUCUGAAAUUUAAUUCCUUACCAUUAGGCAACUCUCAUGUUUCUUUGGAAUCCACCACGAGUUUAUUUCAGUUGAUGAGUUCCACUCUUGAUAAAAGUGAGAGAAUGUGAUCAGCUGUUUCCAAUUCAGCUUCUCUGAGGGACAGUUGUACACACCUCUACCAGAUCUUUCCCAGGAUGAAGACUCUACAUUCCUCAUUUCUUUGGGGCUUCCCGGCAGAAACAAAUACACAGGCCUCACAAAACUUGAAACAGAAGUAAUAAAGCACCAAAGAAGAGAUGUGAAAUUCUCCAUUUCAAAAUAAAAUCUUGCUGCUUUUGGCAGCUACUUCCCAG
ensembl:lncRNA